CAAGCAAUGAGAGCAUUUUAUUCAUUCCUCACAUCUUAGAUUCAGGAAGGGGGAGGAAUACAAACAGGAUAACAAUGAUCAAAAUUGAAAUCUAGCAGCACAUAAGAAAGCCAAGAUUAAUACCAGCAGAAGCAAGAGGAACCAACGCUGCAUACAGAGCCAAGGACUAUACUUAAAACUGAUCUCUUUUGAAUGUGCCAGCAGUGGGCAUAUGGCAUAUGAAUACAUUGUUUUCAGCUACGUACAACUAUGGGACUACCAUCUUUAAAUUAGUAAAAUCAGCAUGAUCCAGGUACAGAGAAUCCUGGAGAUUGGCCAGGAUGCCUUUGGAGAAGGAAACAGAUGGCAACCCCAAAGAGCCCUGGUCAUGUGAAACGGAUGUGCAUUCACCCAUGGAUCCCAGACAGCUUUUCAAGGUUUGAUGAGCUCUCUGUCCAACACAACUGAUAAAAAUCAA